UACGUAGGGGGCAAGCGUUAUCCGGAUUUACUGGGUGUAAAGGGGGCGCAGACGGCGAUGCAAGCCAGGAGUGAAAGCCCGUGGCCCAACCCCGGGACUGCUCUUGGAACUGCGUGGCUGGAGUGCAGGAGGGGCAGGCGGAAUUCCUGGUGUAGCGGUGAAAUGCGUAGAUAUCAGGAGGAACACCGGUGGCGAAGGCGGCCUGCUGGACUGCAACUGACGUUGAGGCCCGAAAGCGUGGGGAGCAAACAGG
rnacentral:rRNA from 1 species